rnacentral:lncRNA from 1 species
GUAUAAUGUUGUUUUGUUUGUUUUUCCUUUAGUUUUGUUUUGCUUUACCCAGUAUUCCCACAAUAGUCUCCCUUUUUCCCCUAACAAUGAUGUCCCAUUUCCCAGGACAUUUUGCAGUAACUAAUUAUAUUGGACAUGAAGCAAUUUGUGUAACUGCCAAAUUUGGAAGAACUAAAAUGACCAAAAGCAGUUGAAGAUUUUCUGUGUUUUCUACGGAAUUGGAAAGAGAAGUUAAGAAAGAGACCAAGGAUUCUGGAUGGGAUGUGAUAGGAGAGCACACGGAAUGACCCCGGUCACCCACCAUAGAAAUCAGUUCAAGUACCGACUUCAGUAGUGAGCUUUUAAACUGGUCUUAAUUAGAUGACACUAGGGGGACGAAAACAGCACAGACACCAAGACCAUCAAUAGAACUGAAACAACGCAAGAUGGCAAAUCCAGAUCAAACCUAAAGCAGAGAUUUGAGACUAUUAAGAGGCGAUUAGGGAGGAUCUCCUUGAAGUCUCCUUCACACGAAGAAUCUCCCUCUUUUUGGUUCACUUCACUUAAUGUGGGAGUUGCUUGUGAUAUUUUCUACAUUUCACCUUCUGAGGUUAUGGGCCCCAUUCAUAUGCCAUAUCUCCCUCUCAGAUGAUUGAUCUUGGCAACACCUCACAUGUAACCCAAGACCAAAAUAGUUACAUUCGGAAGGCAGUCACAAGUCAGUGAUCUCAUCCUGCAGAACGCCUUCUCUUGGCGUUUACCUCAUAUAAUUUGGGGUCUUCUCUAUCUUCAUUCUCGGACUCAAACUUUAAAAAUACUCUGUGAUAAAAUGAGAUGUGACGUCCAGAAGAGCUUCUAGCCUGAGGAGAUGCCAGAGGAGUGUGCCUGAGAGAGGCGUAACUACCAGAAAUGGAUGUAUGAACAGUUGUACUUUUAAGAAACUAGAAAUUGUAAAAUGUACCCAACAUGACAAACUUCGAUAUUCAGGAAUGUGAGCUGGCUUUCAAGGGGACAACCAUGGCGGAGAGCCCCCAGGUAGGGAACAAGUGUCCUCUGGGUGGUAUGACAUAAUGCUGUCUUGUUACUCACUCUGUGAAGGGGCAGAAACCUGAAGUGUAGACACAGCCAGGCUGUCCAGGCAUGUAAGG